rnacentral:lncRNA from 1 species
AAAUCCUUCAGUCUCAAAUUUCUAGCUUAUCCACAAUUUCCACUGAUCAUAUUGCAUCAAGGAACAGCUGCUAAUAUCAGCUCGUUACUCCUCACAACUUCAAGACAAUCAUGAUUUGUGCAUCAAUCUUUAUGCAAGUUUUGUCUUCAAUGAUGUCGCAUCAUAUAAAAUGACUACCACGAGAUGUGACUAUCUUCCUUUCUGAGCAGCGUCAUUAAUCCUCAUCUCCAGUUAGUCUAAAAUGUCUAGAAUUACUGCAAUGGAUUUAUACUUCUACAUAUCUUGCUUGCUGGUCUACUUGCUGAUAAUAUAGCUCAUCUUCUAGUCUACUACAUUGUCAGGUGAUUAAUUAGCAAGCUGACUUAGGACCAGCCAAAAUUAACCCCAUAAUCAUGAAAUUCUAUGUUGUUGAGGUCACUAUUCGAAAGGUUGAUUUGCUCAUAAACACUUGCUUUAGCCUCCUUCAGCAGCCAAAGAUCACUUGCAUUUAAAUCUAUCAAGUCUAUCAUAAGAAAUUGUACUUGUUCAGUUGUUUGGCAAGCUUACAGAUCAUGCAGUGUGUCCAAACAUAAGAUGUGCAUGACAUUUCUAUUAAUUAAAUAUAAAACUAGAUCCAGAUAGACCCAAAGUGUUAUGCAUAGAAAAAGAAACUAAACUAAUACAAGCGGAUGGAGAAGGUGGCACAUCAGCUGAAACAAUUUCAGCAAGAUGUUCAUGACCUAUGUGGGGCCUCAUUGUCUCUGUCUCCUCGCAAUUAGCCUCUUGAUACACCAACCAUGGGCAAAAGCCGAAUGAGAAAAUGGACUUAUGAUCAGUAUGUCAGUUAACUUUAAAAAGUUUUCUGCCCGGAAGUUGGCUAAGAAGGUUUGUAUCCAUAUCAGGAACUCACUCAUACAAUAUAUUUGAUGUCUUGUCCCAUAUUAUCUCAGCUAAAAUAAAUUGAUAUAUUAUGAAACAUAAGCCAAUAAAAAAGGAUCUUACCUAGUUAUGAUUCCAACAAUCUACUGAGAGGGGUGAAUUGAGAGCAGUCCUAGCCAUCGUUUGUCGAACCGACCUGAAUUGGGCGGGCAUCGGGGUCCUGGGAGAGCGAACUGAGGACAAUCCUAGGAGAGGGUCCUCAGUGU